ACACCCGGACAUCAGCGGAGCAUGUCCAGCACCCAGCACACAAAGGCCUCCUGCAUCUCAGAAACCCAGAGAAGCAGCCGCCUCACACCACCCCCGGUCCCUCCCGUCCCUCAGCUGCAACCACCUGCCCACUUUUUCUGCCUCCCGUCUCUGGUCAGCCCAGGCCGUCUUGGCCGGGGUCCACCCACUCCAAAAACCACCACAGUUGUGGCGUUGCCUCCUCGCCAGACAGAGAUAGAGGGCCAACAAUGAAGGGUGACUGGCCAAAUGUCUGGGAGAUGGCCCUGUUCCACAUUGUCUGUGUUCUUGCGAAAUUGCAAGGCGUCACGAGGCUUGCCCACCCAAUCCUCUGGAGAGUUCUUGCGCAGAGGUAGAUUGUUUGGCACACGAGAUGUCGGCGUGGGUCGGAAAGCAUGCGGAAGUCCUGCUUUGCUACGUGAUGGAUUUGCAGGUGGAGGAACUCAGCCAUCCCGGUUACCGGUGGCAGGAUGAUUUCCUUUCAUCCCAACCUUUAUUUCCACAGUGAAAUCAUCAUGAAGGAGCACUGUGUUGGCAUCCUCGGCUACAGGGUGUCUCAUUCCACUGCAGUCCAGCGGUUCUGGGAUCACGAAGGUCAAGCCUCCAGCUGCAGGCAGUACACCUCCUACCUGAGCUCAUUCAGCUGUUUGGCUGAACAUGACUGCCCGGGUUUUGGCAGGAUUGCUGAGGUGGGGUUCGCCGUGGGGCAUCAUGGGAAAGGACCUAGCUGGUCAUUCCUUGGUCUCUGGGGAAUUGGCUU